CUGCAACUCGCCUGCAUGAAGUCGGAAUUGCUAGUAAUCGCGGAUCAGCAUGCCGCGGUGAAUACGUUCCCGGGCCUUGUACACACCGCCCGUCACACCAUGGGAGUCGGUAACACCCGAAGCCGAUAGUCUAACGAAAGAGGACGUCGUCGAAGGUGGGAUUGAUGACUGGGGUGAAGUCGUAACAAGGUAAC
rnacentral:rRNA from 1 species